rnacentral:rRNA from 1 species
GACGAACGCUGGCGGCGUGCUUAACACAUGCAAGUCGAGCGGUAAGGCCCUUUCGGGGGUACACGAGCGGCGAACGGGUGAGUAACACGUGGGUGACCUGCCCUCAGCUCUGGGAUAAGCCUGGGAAACCGGGUCUAAUACCGGAUAUGACUCCAUGACGCAUGUUGUGGGGUGGAAAGCCUUGUGCGGCUGAGGAUGGGCCCGCGGCCUACCAGCUUGUU